GACGAACGCUGGCGGCGUGCUUAACACAUGCAAGUCGAACGGAAAGGCCCUGCUUUUGUGGGGUGCUCGAGUGGCGAACGGGUGAGUAACACGUGAGUAACCUGCCCUUGACUUUGGGAUAACUUCAGGAAACUGGGGCUAAUACCGGAUAGGAGCUCCUGCUGCAUGGUGGGGGUUGGAAAGUUUCGGCGGUUGGGGAUGGACUCGCGGCUUAUCAGCUUGUUGGUGGGGUAGUGGCUUACCAAGGCUUUGGCGGGUAGCCGGCCUGAGAGGGUGACCGGCCAAAUUGGGAUUGAGAUACGGCCCAGACCCCUAGGGGGGGCAGCAGGGGGGAAUUUGGCAAAAUGGGGGGAAGCCUGACGCAGCAACCCCGGGGGGGGGAGGGGGGCCUUGGGGUUGUAAACCGUUUUCGCCUGGGACGAAGCGUGAGUGACGGUAAUGGGAAAAGAAGCACCGGCUAACUACGU
rnacentral:rRNA from 1 species